rnacentral:tRNA from 1 species
GCGGAAGUGGCGAAGAGGUUAACGCACCUGACUGUGGAUCAGGCAUUCGUGGGUUCAAUUCCCAUUUUCCGCCCCA